GGGGUUCUACGUGGUGAGAAAUUUAGUGACGUUAGAUAGAGAUUAAAAGUGGAGAGUGAUAGUUGAGCAUUUUUUUGAUAUUAUUCAAUUCAAAUUAGUUUUUUAAAAUUACAGGAGAGCGAGGAGGUAUAUUAAAUAUUUUUCUUGGUUUUAGAACUUUAUUUUUGUAUGCAGUUAGCAAGCCAAAUUUAAAUAAAUGACACUAAUUCCAGUAGCUAGCUAGCGUUACCAGCGCGAGUGUGCAGUUAUCUCCUCCAGAAUGGUAGAAUGGCCAACGCUGCCGAAAAUGUGGAUUUUUUUUGGUUGAAAAAACAUUUUCAUUCUCUGGGGUACACGGAAAAGGUGCGAAUUAAAAGCGAGGGUCGACCUCUGCUUGAGAUCGGUUUCAUGAAGAAGAAAGCAAGAUGGAUUGUAUUGAUGAGAGAAUCAAAAGAGAUGCCGCCCUUAUGUGUUGAAUCCAAUGAGGGUUAACACCCCUGAUUCUGUGAUGUGGCUAACCGGCAAGGUGCACAGAAGGUCAAAGCAUCCAAUCAUUGUGAGCUGUGGGCAGGACCAAACAUCUGGGGAUGGAGCAUCAAUCCAGAGCCUCUCAGCCAGGUCACCUCUGCUAUUCCCAUAGAGACACAACAUAUAGAUCAAUCUGUUGAUUCAUAUGGCCAUUUUGGUUGGCUUGGUUGAAUUGACAAUCAUCCAUUCAAGAUGCUAAAGAAUCAUAUACUAUGGAAGGUCCUUGAGAGUAAAUGCCAGUGUAUUCUAUGGCUGCCAUGAGUACAUGCCUUUCUGUCUCCUCAGUCUGGAAGGGUGACUCGGCUGAUAGAGAAAAUAUGAUGAGGUGAACUCGUCCUCCUAUUCUGAGGACUUUUCCAUCUACUCCUUCACUGACUGUGAAUCUGAGGGAAAAGAGUUGUACCCUACCGUCCUUGUCUUUGUUGAGUGACAUCACUGUGAGGAGGAUGGUCUCUGACAAGUUGACUGAUACCCAGUGUGAUGAUGAGGAUCAUGUAAGGAGGACACCACCGCUGAAAGUUAAGGAUGAGGAGGAUAUAAAAGGUAACAAAGCUUGAAGUGAGUUAUAUGGUAGAAGACGACGAUCUGUCUCUCCACUCCUACGACGAGUCAGACUUCCUGGUUAGUUCUGCAUAUUGCAUGGGGGAUUGGAAAUGAUACAGACAAUUAUAUUGAUAGAUCUCAAAAUGUAUCUGCAAUAUUAAAGCAGAUCUCUCCCCCACACACACGUUUUUGAAUAACUCUUGCUGAAUGUGGAGAAUGGACUAUGACCAGCUAGCUCUCUGACACACAGCUUGAUGAUGGCAAUGACGCCUCUACUGAGGACAGUCCAGAGCCUCCAAAGGAACCACAAGGACCAGUGAAGGACCAUCGACUGGUAGGCAUCUUUUAAAUUUGUGUGUGUGUGUGUGUCACAUCUCAAUGGUUUGACCCUAUGUCUGUAGAGAUUAUUGUGGCCAAGGCCAACCUCCUCCUCCCUGCCUCUGUGAGUUCACUGAAUAAGGUGUCACGCCAGCUUGAGGUGGUCCCCACUGUCCGGCCCUGCGGACAGCAGCUGGACAAGAAGACACAGUGGACCAACACCAACGAGGAGAGUCUGAGGAGGAUCAAAGAGAACCUGACCUCAAUAGAAUUCAACCUGGAGGAAGGUCUGAAGAUGCACAAUGAUGGUCAGGACAUCCGAAGAAGAAUGAGGGAUGCUGUAGACUAGAGGAUGGAUUGCAAAGUGGAUGGGGAGGAGGAAGGAGAGACUGAGGGAUGAAGAAAUGGCUAGGGUGGUCAAGAGGAUGUGUGAGAAGAGCCCAGGGAAGGUCUCUGGUCCUGUGUCUGGCAAGACUGGCCUCUCUCCUCUUGAGACCUCAGCACCCCGGACCCUGGCUGAAGCCCUACGGGCCCUGCCCUCUGCUGUAGCCCCUCCCUCCCCAGAUAAUGUCCCAAGGCCUCUGACUCCUCUCAGCCCUGUAGUUAUCACUCCGUCCUCUACAGAGAACUUCCCAUACCGCCGCAGCCCUCGGCUGGCCCCCAUAACCAACCUGAGUGUAACCGCCCCCACAGGUGAGAGGAAAUACAAGAAGGGUAUAUUUCCCGGAAGUCCUAGGUAUAGUAGCUCAAGAGAAGAGAAAACCCAUAAGCUUACAUUACUUUAUCUCCUUGUCCAAAAUAUUCAGGAAGGGAAGGUCAAUAAGAAAAAGAAGUGCAAGGCCAAAAAAGUAGUUAAGCAAAAGAAGGCCGGUAAGAUGCAACAGAUGGAAAAUGUUGGAGGAAGUAAGGAGGAGGACAAGAAGAGGAAAUAGAGGGAGAAGUGGAACAUAACCUGGGAAUACUAGACUAGAAAAUUCUAGAAAUAGAAUGAGGUAGCAGAGAAAGAGCAGCUAUCUGAGGUGCCUUAAUACUAUUAUUAACUGGUAACCAAUGUAAUUAGAGCAGUAAAAAUAAUGUUUUGUCAUACCCGUAGUAUAUUGUUGUAAACACACACACAGAUUUUGAGUAUUGGUUACUCCUACAACACACACAAAUGUAAUUUCAGAGACAGGAACUAUGAUUAGCAAAUACUUAUAUUGGUCUCGUUCUUAUAUUUUGAGACAUGCAUCAUUCUUAAAAAAAAUAUAUAUAUUGGUCCCCAUACUGCCUAGCCAGGUGGCUUGUGAUAAUGAGUUGGAUUUACAUAGUGCUUAGAAGCGCUUUCACAUUCUUAGGCUUGGAAAUAUAGCCAGGAGAAGCAGGGUCAACACCUCUACUCAUGCCAUAAGUGCCAUGACAUAUUUAGUAACCACAGAGAGAUAAGACCUCUGUCUCCACAUUCUCAUCCAAAGGACAGCACCAACCUUAGGGCAGUGUCACUGGUAUUGGGGUCUUAGGUCUCAUUUGGACAAAGGGAAGAGAAGAUGCCCUUUACUGGUCUCCUUGCAAUAUCUGGUCUCCCACACAGAGAUGGAAACCUACACCUGUUUAGACCCUGGAGGAUAUGGCUUCAGAUGAAAGACAGCAGAGAGAUGCAGAACGUAAAAGCUUCAAACACAUUGAUAUGCAAAUUCAGGACCAUUGUACUCUGAAGUGGAGCAUGCAUCUGGUCUGAAGCAUGUCAAAAGAGUAGAAAUGAAUUGGGACUGGAGGAAUACAUCACAUGUAAACUAAAUUAGCAUGUAUCUAAUUUAGAUACACUCAUCUGUACUUUUUUGUUUGAAAUGGGACUUUCCAAUAAAGCUUUUUAAAUUCCAA